GAUGAACGCUAGCUACAGGCUUAACACAUGCAAGUCGAGGGACCGGCGCACGGGUGAGUAACACGUAUCCCACCUGCCCUUUACUCGGGGAUAGCCUUUCGAAAGAAAGAUUAAUACACGAUGUAAAGGAUGGGGAUGCGUUCCAUUAGGUUGUUAGUGAGGUAACGGCUCACCAAGCCUGCGCUGGCUAGGGGUGCUGAGGGGAAGGGCCCCCACAUGGGAACUGAGACCCGUUCCAAACUCCUACGGGAGGCAGCAGUGAGGAAUAUUGGUCAAUGGGCGUUAGCCUGAACCAGCCAAGUAGCGUGAAGGAUGAAGGCUUAUGGGUCGUAAACUUCUUUUAUAUAAGAAUAGGUAUUAUAUGAAUAAGGAUCGGCUAACUCCGUGCCAGCAGCCGCGGUAAUAC
rnacentral:rRNA from 1 species